GGAAGCGUGCCCGAAAGAUAAGGACCUCCUUGAUAGGGAGGCUAAUAU
rnacentral:tRNA from 1 species